ACAACAACAUUAGGACCGUCGCUCUACCGAGCAAUGUAACCCGCUCGGUGGAAUAUCUUCCCUUCGUCGUAUAUC
rnacentral:pre_miRNA from 1 species